UGGGGAAUAUUGCACAAUGGGCGCAAGCCUGAUGCAGCCAUGCCGCGUGUGAAAGAAGGCCCUUCGGGGUUGUAAAAGCACUUUCAGCGAGGAGGAAGGUGGUGAGCUUAAUACGCUCAUCAAUUGACGUUACUCGCAGAAGAAGCACCGGCUAACUCCGUGCCAGCAGCCGCGGUAAUACGGAGGGUGCAAGCGUUAAUCGGAAUUACUGGGCGUAAAGCGCACGCAGGCGGUUUGUUAAGUCAGAUGUGAAAUCCCCGGGCUCAACCUGGGAACCGCAUUUGAAACUGGCAAGCUAGAGUCUCGUAGAGGGGGGUAGAAUUCCAGGUGUAGCGGUGAAAUGCGUAGAGAUCUGGAGGAAUACCGGUGGCGAAGGCGGCCCCCUGGACGAAGACUGACGCUCAGGUGCGAAAGCGUGGGGCAGCAAACAGGAUUAGAUACCCUGGUAGUCCAGCGCUGUAAAACGAUGUCGAUUUGGAGGUUGUGCCCUUGAGGCGUGGCUUCCGGAGCUAACGCGUUAAA
rnacentral:rRNA from 1 species